AGACCUGUUGAAGACCUUAGUUUUAAAGUGCCAAGGACACUCACUGCAUCCAGAGUCAUCUUCAAUCAUCCUUAUUUAUAUUAACCACUGACUCCGGAGAGGAAAGUGAGGCAGGUGACCUUGCACAGCCCUCCCUCCCUCACUCAAAUCCAAGUCACUUGCCUAUCAAAGCACCACCUCCCUGAUUCACGGUCCUCCUUGAGAACCAAGGACAAGCAACAAAACAUUACUUCAUUUUCCUGGAUUCCUACUCCAAAAAUGAAUCCCCUCGGGAUGGGUGGGGCAACUUUAACUACAGGUUAACAAAGUGCAACUGGUGUUUGUGAUGUCAUGAAAGACUUAGUUCCCCUAUCCUUAGUAUCCCCUUAAUAUCCCCUAUCCCUUUAGUUGGGAUGUAUAAUCAAAAGCUUCAGUCCUGCUCUAGGUGUGUCUUCUCUGGAGAGAGCUAUUAUUCUCAACUUGCUGAUUUUAAUUUUAGCCACUUUAUUUUUAUUGCUAAUUCAAUCCUCUAUCCUUCCUCUACUGGGGAAUCUUGCUGCUAAAGAGACUACAAAUUGGAAUUAGAUUAACACAUGGUUCCUGUACUUGGAAGCAUUUGAAAUAUCCUCUUUGCUGAUUUUCUUGAAGUUCUUACUGAGUCUCCCAAACACUGAGCUAGCUCUCCAGUGCAUGUGUCGGCCUCAUUAUCAAUGUUUACAUCCCUGGAAAGUAUAGUGUCAAGGAGGUGAAUGGGGAGAAAAAACCAGCCCUUUCCAAAAGUUGUGACCCAAAACUCUUCAAAAGACUGUCAUCCCAAAGUCCAAUCAAGGUUGCCAUAUUCUCAUCAGAUUUCAUCAUUAUUAAAAGAAGAUCACUUGUCCAGAGAUAAUCAGAUACCCCACUUUUAUCAGACUAGACCCAAAUUAUUACAACUUCCAAAGCCAAAGCUCACACUUGUAGAACCCUGGAAAGACAAGGAAAAAAGCCAGGAACUAUCCUACAAUCAGAAAAUGGCUGACCUGUUACCCUAUCUUGAUAGUUGGAAUAUGGCUAAACCACCUAUACUCCAGAAAUGCCAUUAUAUGGCCACAGUUUUGCCUUCAAUAUAUCAGGAGUACAGUGUUAAGAGAAUUUUUUUAACUUUGCCAACCCCAGAAUAAAAUGUAUAAUCCCAACUCAGAUCUGACCAUGAGAUUCUGUCUCUAGUUCACUAACCCCUGGGCAGAAAAUCCUUUGGAUUCUGACCAGAUUCCUAAGGUUCUAUAUUAUCUGUUAUAUUUCAACCAGCAGGCCAUGACUCGCACUAAUUGACAUUGCUUUGAGGUCCUACUUAGUGUCCCUACUUCUACAACAGAACUCCAUUAACAUGCCCAUAUUUCUAGGCUGAGGCUUUGCUGAGUCAUAAUUCCAGGAACACACCUUAAUUGU